GGUGCUGCCGUCGCCGCCCGACCUGCGCCUUCGCGCCACUUCGCGCCCUCGGGCGAGGCCGAGGGGGUGGGGACGACCCCCGCCGCGUAGCCGCGGCUCGCGCCUCUCGCGAAGCCCCUUCGCGGGGCGGGCGGGCCGGCGGGCCGCACCCCCGGCCUGGGGCCUCCGGUCGUAGUAAAGCGGAGGCGGGUGGGGAGGCGGGAGCGUGAGCCCGCGGCGGGCGAGGCGAAGAUGGUGGCGGCUACUCCUCCUGUCAUACACGCGGACCUAACUGCACCAAAAGCUUUUCUUAAGGAUACUUGCUGAGAAGAAAGUUUUCCCUAGUGGAGCUUCAGAAACACUGCUAACAAAAAGAGAGCUGUUAAAGAUAGAGACUUAUUCCCUAAACCCAUUUCCGCCUGAAGAAUUUUUUCCAGCACUAGACCAUCUACAAGGUUGUCUGCUUUCAGUAUCUCUUUCCAGAGUGGCAACUUGUACCUAACACCUCAGGCAGAAGACAUGGACCUCCUUAUUCAUCAGGCCAAGCAAGCCUGGAAAAUUUUCCACCAAACCAACCAGGGAACUCUGGAAAUCUCUGGUGGGAGCCAAGAGGGUACAUCAGGUGUCAGUGUCUGUAGAGCGAGGCCAUCUGGUCUAGAAUGAAGCACACACCAGCACUUGGGAAACUGAGAAUACCCAUAACUUUCAUUAGCAACACUCCUGCAUGCAAAAAGGCCAUGCAGAACUAUAAUAUUCAUACAAUUCCAUUGUUACAGGUAACUUUUCAAAAUCAUAAAAAUAUUCUCAAACUCAGAAGCAUGUUUUAAAAAAU